UAGCCUACGGGAGGCAGCAGUGGGGAAUAUUGCACAAUGGGCGAAAGCCUGAUGCAGCAACGCCGCGUGAAGGAAGAAGUAUUUCGGUAUGUAAAGCUCUCUCAGCAGGGAAGAAAAUGACGGUACCUGACUAAGAAGCCCCGGCUAACUACGUGCCAGCAGCCGCGGUAAUACGUAGGGGGCAAGCGUUAUCCGGAUUUACUGGGUGUAAAGGGAGCGUAGACGGCGCGGCAAGUCUGAAGUGAAAGGCAGGGGCUUAACCCCUGAACUGCUUUGGAAACUGCCAUGCUAGAAUGCUGGAGAGG
rnacentral:rRNA from 1 species